rnacentral:rRNA from 1 species
CAGCUGUAAACGAUGCAGACUAGGUGUUUGGACGGCCACGUGCCGUUCUAGUGCCGCAGGGAAGCUGUUAAGUCUGCCGCCUGGGGAGUACGAUCGCAAGAUUGAAACUUAAAGGAAUUGGCGGGGGAGCACCACAAGGGGUGAAGCUUGCGGUUUAAUUGGAGUCAACGCCGGAAAUCUCACCGGGAGCGACAGCAGUAUGAAAGCCAGAUUGAAGGUCUUGCUAGACGAGCUGAGAGGAGGUGCAUGGCGUCAGUGACU